CAAUAGCGUAUAUUAAUGUUGUUGCAGUUAAAAAGCUCGUAGUUGGAUUUCUGGUGGGAGCGGCCGGUCCGCCGUAAGGUGUGUACUUGGUUGUCUCCUGUCAUCCUUGUGGGAACUGCUCUGGCAUUAAGUUGUCGGGGUUAGGGAGCACAUCGUUUACUGUGAAAAAAUUAGAGUGUUUAAAGCAGGCUUAUGCCGUUGAAUACAUUAGCAUGGAAUAAUAAGAUAGGACUUUGGCGUCUAUUUUGUUGGUUUGCACACCAAGGUAAUGAUUAAUAGGGAUAGUUGGGGGUAUUCGUAUUUAAUUGUCAGAGGUGAAAUUCUUGGAUUUAUGAAAGACGAACUUCUGCGAAAGCACUUACCAAAGAUGUUUUCAUUAA
rnacentral:rRNA from 1 species